GGCGAACGCUGGCGGCGUGCUUAACACAUGCAAGUCGAACGGAAAGGCCCUGCUUUUGUGGGGUGCUCGAGUGGCGAACGGGUGAGUAACACGUGAGUAACCUGCCCUUGACUUUGGGAUAACUUCAGGAAACUGGGGCUAAUACCGGAUAGGAGCUCCUGCUGCAUGGUGGGGGUUGGAAAGUUUCGGCGGUUGGGGAUGGACUCGCGGCUUAUCAGCUUGUUGGUGGGGUAGUGGCUUACCAAGGCUUUGACGGGUAGCCGGCCUGAGAGGGUGACCGGCGACAUUGGGACUGAGAUACGGCCCAGACUCCUACGGGCGGCAGCAGUGGGGAAUAUUGCACAACGGGCGGAAGCCUGAUGCAGCAACGCCGCGUGCGGGAUGACGGCCUUCGGGUUGUAAACCGCUUUCGCCUGUGACGAAGCGUGAGUGACGGUAAUGGGUAAAGAAGCACCGGCUAACUACGUG
rnacentral:rRNA from 1 species